CCAUCAAGGCUGGGCAGAGGUUUUUGGAGGUGUCUGGAUCCGAUUCAAUUCCCAUUUACAAUCUAUAGUUGAGUGUGGAGGUGUUUCUGCAGCGAUGAAAAACAAAUGAGGUUCAGAUUUCCAGUCUUCUCCACCUUCACUCUCCUCCUCCAGACAGAGAAUUUCUCCAUCUUCCUCCUGUAUGAUGAGGCAGGAAAAAAAAGCUGAAAUUGGCCUUAAUAUUCAAGAUAUGCUCAAGAGGCUCCUUGACGCAAGAGAGAACAACACUGACAUAUCUUAAGGGCUGUGGAGUAUGUCAUGGAGGAACUCCUUCCUGAGAGAGCCCCUGCUCAAACGUGCCAUGUGUGUUGAUGUCCAGCAGAGUGUGGAGUGUAAGAAGCCUUGUUCUUAGCUGACAGACCUCAGGAGCCUGACAAACGGGCUUUUAAACUAAUGUGACCUUUUCUAUUGGGGUUUCGGAAUAAUGGUCCGUCGGAAAAAUGGCAGGCACAGAAGAUGGCCGGCCUUGAGCCACAAUGUUUCAAGUGGGAGCCAUCUAUCUCACACACAUACAUAUAUACACACACACACACACACUCUGUACUGAGGAUUAAGUUAUACAUCCAUUUGUAUUCAUUGAAAUUGAAAUUUAAAACAAUUAUUCUAUUCCUUUAUCAGAUUUUCAUAUUGUUUUCAUUUCUACCUGUUCUGAAGAGGAAACCAGUUUGUAACACGAGGACAGCCAGCGUUCCAACAUGAUCUGCCAGACUGUCAUAUGUAAUCUCAUUGUAUGUGUUAACAAGCAUAUCAAUAAUGCAUUUGUUUGAUGAAGUUACUCGAAAUGAUGGAACAUUUAAAAAGAUUCACAGAGCAUAGAGCGGGAUCGACAACCUUCACCAUGUCCUGUGCCAAUUUAAAAUGUUUUCAUUUGUUUAUAAUGCGUGUUGUGCAUUGAAUUAUUUACUGCUACUGCAAGUCUCUAAUCCAAUUUGACCAAUGUGCUUUAAAAUGCUAAAAUACACCCACGCUAAUACUUCACUCGAAGGAAGAAGAAUGUCCUAUACAACUCAAUAAAUAUCUCUGGAACGCUGCUUCUUACUGACUUACUUAUUUUGCUGAAAAGCUAACU